rnacentral:rRNA from 1 species
AGCUCCAAUAGCGUAUGUUAACAUUGCUGCAGUUAAAAUGCUCGUAGUCGAAUUUUUGGUCGUUAGAACUCUGCCUGGCUCUUAGGAGUCUGUGCGGACUUGUUCAACGUCCAUUCUUCUGGCGUCGUACUUCUGCUCUUGAUUGGGUGGUCGUACAAACCAGAUCAUUUACUGUGAACAAAUGAGGUUGUUCAAAGAAGGCUUUUUAAGCCUGAAUCUAUUAGCAUGGAAUAAUAAGAUAGGACUUUGGUUCUAUUUUGUUGGCUUCUCGAAUCAAAGUAAUGAUUGAUAGGGACCGUUGGGGGUGCUCGUAUUCAUGGGGGAGCGGUGAAAUGCUUGGAUCCUAUGAAGACGAACUAAUGCGAAAGCAUUCACCAAGGAGGUCUUCUUUG